AUAAAUUUGAAGCUCUGCUUCACAAACAAAACCCGUGUUGCACUGUUUACUGUCUCUGGCAGGAUCAGGGAUGCAAUGUCCCCCCUGUCAAAGGAGUGGGGUCGCCCUUUGGGCGACUCGCUCCUUAGUUGAAAAACUCAUUGUCUGUCUUUUGUCUGAACUUUUCUUCACAUUCGUGUGAGAAAUUGAAAACA
rnacentral:misc_RNA from 1 species